GUGGGGUAAAGGCCUACCAAGGCGACGAUCUGUAGCGGGUCUGAGAGGAUGAUCCGCCACACUGGGACUGAGACACGGCCCAGACUCCUACGGGAGGCAGCAGUGGGGAAUAUUGGACAAUGGGCGCAAGCCUGAUCCAGCCAUGCCGCGUGUGUGAAGAAGGCCUUAUGGUUGUAAAGCACUUUAAGCGAGGAGGAGGCUACUUUAGUUAAUACCUAGAGAUAGUGGACGUUACUCGCAGAAUAAGCACCGGCUAACUCUGUGCCAGCAGCCGCGGUAAUACAGAGGGUGCAAGCGUUAAUCGGAUUUACUGGGCGUAAAGCGCGCGUAGGCGGCUAAUUAAGUCAAAUGUGAAAUCCCCGAGCUUAACUUGGGAAUUGCAUUCGAUACUGGUUAGCUAGAGUGUGGGAGAGGAUGGUAGAAUUCCAGGUGUAGCGGUGAAAUGCGUAGAGAUCUGGAGGAAUACCGAUGGCGAAGGCAGCCAUCUGGCCUAACACUGACGCUGAGGUGCGAAAGCAUGGGGAGCAAACAGGAUUAGAUACCCUGGUAGUCCAUGCCGUAAACGAUGUCUACUAGCCGUUGGGGCCUUUGAGGCUUUAGUGGCGCAGCUAACGCGAUAAGUAGACCGCCUGGGGAGUACGGUCGCAAGACUAAAACUCAAAUGAAUUGACGGGGGCCCGCACAAGCGGUGGAGCAUGUGGUUUAAUUCGAUGCAACGCGAAGAACCUUACCUGGCCUUGACAUAGUAAGAACUUUCCAGAGAUGGAUUGGUGCCUUCGGGAACUUACAUACAGGUGCUGCA
rnacentral:rRNA from 1 species